rnacentral:rRNA from 1 species
AUUGAACGCUGGCGGCAUGCCUUACACAUGCAAGUCGAACGGCAGCGGGGGAGAAGCUUGCUUUUCCUGCCGGCGAGUGGCGAACGGGUGAGUAAUACAUCGGAACGUGCCCUGUAGUGGGGGAUAACUAGUCGAAAGAUUAGCUAAUACCGCAUACGACCUGAGGGUGAAAGUGGGGGACCGCAAGGCCUCAUGCUAUAGGAGCGGCCGACGUCUGAUUAGCUAGUAGGUGAGGUAAAGGCUCACCUAGGCGACGAUCAGUAGCGGGUCUGAGAGGAUGAUCCGCCACACUGGGACUGAGACACGGCCCAGACUCCUACGGGAGGCAGCAGUGGGGAAUUUUGGACAAUGGGCGAAAGCCUGAUCCAGCCAUGCCGCGUGUCUGAAGAAGGCCUUCGGGUUGUAAAGGACUUUUGUCAGGGAGGAAAUCCCUAGUGCUAAUAACACUGGGGGAUGACAGUACCUGAAGAAUAAGCACCGGCUAACUACGUGCCAGCCGCCGCCGUAA